UUGUGUCUCGGAUCUCCCCGGUCUAGUCUCACCAAGUUGAUCUUGUGAUCCACAACGGUGGCAAGAGACCCUCACGAUAUGUCACUGGUUAGUGGUCUCCAGGACGGUAUUCGCCAUCAGCAGUACAGACCACCACCAUGCAAGUUUGUUUCGAGUUUUCAUUCACUAUAGAACACUUUCUUACAGUCAGCUAAAGUAUUUCGUCUAAAAACUCCUUCACCAAUAUACGGAGUGAGAAAGUGAAUACAUCGACAGCACAUAUGUUUAGGUCUCCUGGUAUUUAAAAGCUCCCACGCGUGUCCCUUGACCCAUCCCAUCAUUAACCACCGCUAGUCAAUGUUUGUUUGCUUAAACAGUCUAGCCCAAGCCUGUGGCUACAACUAUUGACGGUCCAGAUGAUUGACUAGACCAACUCGAGAACCGUGCUGUCUAGCACUAUGAAAACCUCAUUAGUGCUUUAAUAAUCCAGGUAGGUACUGUACCCUUGGAGGAUUGCACCACCCAUGUCGUAAAUAUUCUCCUGUCAAGGAUAUAUGAAGUAGGGUAUCUUACAGUACAUACAACACGAAAACUGGGUAGCGUCUCGCUUUCACGGUCGUUAUUAAUCAUCACUACAUACUAUUCAAACA
rnacentral:misc_RNA from 1 species